rnacentral:rRNA from 1 species
GACGAACGCUGGCGGCGUGCUUAACACAUGCAAGUCGAACGGUGAAGCGCCUUCCUUUUUGGUGGGUGGGGAGGAGUGGCGAACGGGGGAGUAACACGUGAGUAACCUGCCCCCUUCUGCUGGAUAACGGCAUGAAAGUGUGGCUAAUACGGGAUAUUCUGGGUCGGUCGCAUGAUGGGUCUGGGAAAGAUAUUGUUUCGGUGGGGGAUGGGCUCGCGGCCUAUCAGCUUGUUGGUGGGGUGAUGGCCUACCAAGGCGGUGACGGGUAGCCGGCCUGAGAGGAUGGACCGUCACGCUGGUACUGAGACACGGACCCUCCUCCGGCGGGAGGCAGCAGGGGGUAUUACUGCACAGUCGGCGGAAUGCUGAUGCAGCGACGCCGCGUGGGUGAUGGAGGCCUUCGGGUUGUGAACCUCUUUCGCCAGUGAAGAAGGCCUGCCUCGUUUGUGGGUGUGUUGACGGUAGCUGGAUAAGAAGCGCCGGCUAACUACGUG